AUGACACGAGGCGGGGUAACGGAAGACCCGCAGUACGGAAUGACAACAGUGGAUCUCAACAAUCUUGCGUAUGCAGACGAACCAUUCGUCCUAGCCAAUGAUGUGGCACAGGUUUUCUAUGUGAAGGACAUGUCUACCAAGCCAAGAAAAAGAAAAGAUAAGGAAGCGAAUGCAUCGUACGAUGAGCCAAAGCGGCACAUAGUUCUUUCUGGGAAGAGAAACAUCGUGGGAGUGGAUGACAAGACAGACAAGUCAGAAGAUUAUGAAAAGUUUGAUGAAAUUGCUCCAUUCACAGUGAAGAUUGACCCGAGCAUCCCGUUAAAUGAUGAAGAUUUUCCAUGGUUACAGCGCAAAGGGACACACGCGAAGAAAAAGUUUCACACCCAAAGAUCUGGGAUGUGA
rnacentral:rRNA from 1 species